AGGAAAAGAACAUGGAAAACCCA
rnacentral:snRNA from 1 species